CUCCAAGUUAGAUCGCCUCCACCCUCGAUCUUCAAGAGGUAAGAGUCGAUCUCUAGCUUACUUUAUGUUUUAAGCAAGUUUUAUGCAAGUUCAUGGGGUAGAAAAUGCAUGUGUAGCUUAUGUUGAGCUUAUGGGUUUUUUAUGUGAUUUUGAACAAUGUGGCUUGCAAAUGUAUGUUUGACGUGUUUUAGAUGGGGUUUUAGUUAGUUGAUGCCCCUAGGAACUUGUAUGCUUGUGUAUGAGUGUUGUAGAAUAGGUUUAUGCAUGUUUGGUUGAGAUUGGAGGCAUAAAUGCAUAAGGGAGCUGAGUUUCUGCCAUUCUGGGAG
rnacentral:lncRNA from 1 species